AGAGCAGAGGGUGUUGUGAGCAUAAAACACUGGAGGCGGCACUGCCCCGGACCCGGCUCCGCGCAGGCAGGGGCACUGUGGAGGGCCAUGCAGUGCCUGGGGAUCCGGAGCCGGAGCCGCUCCAGGGAGCUCUACCUGCAGGAGCGGAGCCUUAAGGUGGCGGCGCUCAAUGGACGGAGGCUGGGCCUACAGGAUGAUGAGGAUCUACAGGCGCUGCUGAAGGGCAGCCAGCUCCUGAAGGUGAAGUCCAGCUCAUGGAGGAGAGAGCGCUUCUACAAGUUGCAGGAGGACUGCAAGACCAUCUGGCAGGAGUCCCGCAAGGUCAUGCGGACCCCGGAGUCCCAGCUGUUCUCCAUCGAGGACAUUCAGGAGGUGCGAAUGGGGCACCGCACGGAGGGUCUGGAGAAGUUCGCCCGUGAUGUGCCCGAGGACCGCUGCUUCUCCAUUGUCUUCAAGGACCAGCGCAAUACACUAGACCUCAUCGCCCCAUCGCCAGCUGAUGCCCAGCACUGGGUGCUGGGGCUGCACAAGAUCAUCCACCACUCAGGCUCCAUGGACCAGCGUCAGAAGCUACAGCACUGGAUUCACUCCUGCUUGCGAAAAGCUGACAAAAACAAGGACAACAAGAUGAGCUUCAAGGAGCUGCAGAACUUCCUGAAGGAGCUCAACAUCCAGGUGGACGACAGCUAUGCCCGGAAGAUCUUCAGGGAGUGUGACCACUCCCAGACAGACUCCCUGGAGGACGAGGAGAUUGAGGCCUUCUACAAGAUGCUGACCCAGCGGGUGGAGAUCGACCGCACCUUCGCCGAGGCCGCGGGCUCAGGGGAGACUCUGUCGGUGGAUCAGUUAGUGACGUUCCUGCAGCACCAGCAGCGGGAGGAGGCGGCAGGGCCUGCGCUGGCCCUCUCCCUCAUUGAGCGCUACGAGCCCAGCGAGACUGCCAAGGCGCAGCGGCAGAUGACCAAGGACGGCUUCCUCAUGUACUUACUGUCGGCUGACGGCAGCGCCUUCAGCCUGGCACACCGCCGUGUCUACCAGGACAUGGGCCAGCCACUUAGCCACUACCUGGUGUCCUCUUCACACAACACCUACCUGCUGGAGGACCAGCUAGCCGGGCCCAGCAGCACUGAAGCCUACAUCCGGGCACUGUGCAAAGGCUGCCGAUGCCUGGAGCUUGACUGCUGGGACGGGCCCAACCAGGAACCAAUCAUCUACCACGGCUAUACUUUCACUUCCAAGAUCCUCUUCUGCGAUGUGCUCAGGGCCAUCCGGGACUAUGCCUUCAAGGUGGGAGUGCCCCUGGCAGGUGAGGAGUGGGAUGCUAGGGGUGGCCCACCACUCCUAAUGUGCCCUUGGGCCUCCAGGCGUCCCCCUACCCUGUCAUCCUAUCCCUGGAGAACCACUGCACACUGGAGCAGCAGCGCGUGAUGGCGCGGCACCUGCAUGCCAUCCUGGGCCCCAUGCUGUUGAACCGACCACUGGAUGGGGUCACCAACAGCCUGCCCUCCCCUGAGCAACUGAAGGGGAAGAUCCUGCUGAAGGGGAAGAAGCUCGGGGGGCUCCUGCCCCCUGGAGGGGAGGGUGGCCCUGAGGCCACUGUGGUGUCAGACGAAGACGAGGCUGCUGAGAUGGAGGAUGAGGCAGUGAGGAGCCGUGUGCAGCACAAGCCCAAGGAGGACAAGCUCAGGCUAGCACAGGAGCUCUCUGACAUGGUCAUUUACUGCAAGAGUGUCCACUUUGGGGGCUUCUCCAGUCCUGGCACCCCUGGACAGGCCUUCUACGAGAUGGCGUCCUUCUCUGAGAACCGUGCCCUUCGACUGCUCCAAGAAUCAGGAAACGGCUUUGUCCGCCACAACGUGGGGCACCUGAGCAGAAUCUACCCGGCUGGAUGGAGAACAGACUCCUCCAACUACAGCCCCGUGGAGAUGUGGAAUGGGGGCUGCCAGAUCGUGGCCCUGAAUUUCCAGACACCUGGGCCAGAGAUGGACGUGUACCAGGGCCGCUUCCAGGACAACGGGGCCUGUGGGUACGUGCUGAAGCCCGCCUUCCUGCGAGACCCCAACGGCACCUUUAACCCCCGCGCCCUGGCUCAGGGGCCCUGGUGGGCACGGAAGCGGCUCAACAUCAGGGUCAUUUCGGGGCAGCAGCUGCCAAAAGUCAACAAGAAUAAGAAUUCAAUUGUGGACCCCAAAGUGACAGUGGAGAUCCAUGGCGUGAGCCGGGACGUGGCCAGCCGCCAGACUGCUGUCAUCACCAACAAUGGUUUCAACCCAUGGUGGGACACGGAGUUUGCGUUUGAGGUAGUUGUGCCUGACCUUGCCCUCAUCCGCUUCUUGGUGGAAGAUUAUGAUGCCUCCUCCAAGAAUGACUUCAUUGGCCAGAGUACCAUCCCCUUGAACAGCCUCAAGCAAGGAUACCGCCAUGUCCACCUCAUGUCUAAGAACGGGGACCAGCAUCCAUCAGCCACCCUCUUUGUGAAGAUCUCCCUCCAGGACUAGGCUGGAGGAAGCCAGUGGGGUCCCCCCUGAGUGGGCUGGGCCCUCUGUCCACAUGUGGGGACAGGGCUGGUGUGGCUGCUCCCAGCCUCUUGCUCAGAGCUAGGCCCCCAAAUUGCCUUCAGCCCUAACAUAGUGUCUGCUGCUGCCUCCCUGGGGACCAGGAGCUAGCCCAGUCCCUGGAGCUGUCCUUCAUUCCGUUAGGAAUAACACUGCAGCCCUCUCCACCCUCCGGCCAGCGAGUGGUCAAGGAUUUUUAUAAAAAUCACGAUAAGAUUAA